rnacentral:rRNA from 1 species
GACGAACGCUGGCGGCGUGCUUAACACAUGCAAGUCGAACGGUAAGGCCCUGUUUUUGUGGGGUGCUCGAGUGGCGAACGGGUGAGUAACACGUGAGUAACCUGACCUUGACUUUGGGAUAACUUAAGGAAACUGGGGCUAAUAUCGGAUAGGAGCUCCUGCUGCAUGGUGGGGGUUGGAAAGUUUCGGCGGUUGGGGAUGGAUUCGCGGGUUAUCCGCUUGUUGGUGGGGUAGUGGGUUACCAAGGCUUCGACGGGUAGCCGGCCUGAGAGGGUGACCGGCCCCAUUGUGACUCCGAUGGGGCCCAGACGCCUGCGGUAGGCAGCAGUGGGGGAUAUUCCGCAACGGGCGGAAGCCGGAUGCAGCGACGCCGCGUGCGUGAUGACGGCCUUCGGGUUGUAAACCGCUUUCGCCUGUGACGAAGCGUGAGUGACGGUAACGGGUAAAGAAGCACCGGCUAACUACGUG